UACGUAGGGGGCAAGCGUUGUCCGGAUUUAUUGGGCGUAAAGAGCGUGUAGGCGGCCAGGUAGGUCUGCUGUGAAAACUCGAGGCUCAACCUCGAGACGUCGGCGGAAACCAUCUGGCUAGAGUCCGGAAGAGGAGAGUGGAAUUCCGUGGUGUAGCGGUGAAAUGCGCAGAUAUCAGGAAGAACACCCGUGGCGAAGGCGGCUCUCUGGGACGGUACUGACGCUGAGACGCGAAAGCGUGGGGAGCGAACAGG
rnacentral:rRNA from 1 species